rnacentral:tRNA from 1 species
GGCCGCGUGGCCUAAUGGUUAAGGCGUUGGUUUUCGGUAGCCCUGACUAGGGCGCUCAUAAGUUGAUCACCAAAGAUUGGGAGUUCGAAUCUUCCCGCGGUAC